rnacentral:rRNA from 1 species
AGGGAAUAUUGGUCAAUGGGCGGAAGCCUGAACCAGCCAUGCCGCGUGCGGGAGGAAGGCCCUAUGGGUUGUAAACCGCUUUGGAUGGGGAAGAAAAGCAUUUGCGAGCCAAGUGACUGACGGUACCCAUAGAACAAGCACCGGCUAACUCCGUGCCAGCAGCCGCGGUAAUACGGAGGGUGCGAGCGUUAUCCGGAAUUACUGGGUUUAAAGGGUGCGAAGGCGGCUGAUUAAGUCUGGGGUGAAAACACGGGGCUCAACCCUGUGCGUGCCUUGGAUACUGGUUAGCUUGAAUAGUAUCUGGGCGUGCGGAACGCGACAUGUAGCGGUGAAAUGCUUAGAUAUGUCGUGGAACACCGAUAGCGAAGGCAGCACGCUGGGUAAAGAUUGACGCUGAGGCACGAAAGCGUGGGGAUCGAAC